GACGAACGCUGGCGGCGUGCUUAACACAUGCAAGUCGAACGGAAAGGCCCUGCUUUUGUGGGUUGCUCGAGUGGCGAACGGGGGAGUAACACGUGAGUAACCUGCCCUUGACUUUGGGAUAACUUCAGGAAACUGGGGCUAAUACCGGAUAGGAGCUCCUGCUGCAUGGUGGGGGUUGGAAAGUUUCGGCGGUUGGGGAUGGACUCGCGGCUUAUCAGCUUGUUGGUGGGGUAGUGGCUUACCCAGGCUUUGACGGGUAGCCGGCCUGAGAGGGUGACCGGCCACACUGGGACUGAGAUACGGCCCAGACUCCUACGGGAGGCAGCAGUGGGGAAUAUUGCCCAAUGGGCGGAAGCCUGAUGCAGCAACGCCGCGUGCGGGAUGACGGCCUUCGGGUUGUAAACCGCUUUCGCCUGUAACGAAGCGUGAGUGACGGUAAUGGGUAAAGAAGCACCGGCUAACUACGUG
rnacentral:rRNA from 1 species